GUGAACGCUGGCGGUAGGCCUAACACAUGCAAGUCGAACGGCAGCACAGUAAGAGCUUGCUCUUACGGGUGGCGAGUGGCGGACGGGUGAGGAAUACAUCGGAAUCUACUUUUUCGUGGGGGAUAACGUAGGGAAACUUACGCUAAUACCGCAUACGACCUACGGGUGAAAGCGGGGGAUCUUCGGACCUUGCGCGAUUGAAUGAGCCGAUGUCGGAUUAGCUAGUUGGCGGGGUAAAGGCCCACCAAGGCGACGAUCCGUAGCUGGUCUGAGAGGAUGAUCAGCCACACUGGAACUGAGACACGGUCCAGACUCCUACGGGAGGCAGCAGUGGGGAAUAUUGGACAAAGGGCGCAAGCCUGAUCCAGCCAUACCGCGUGGGUGAAGAAGGCCUUCGGGUUGUAAAGCCCUUUUGUUGGGAAAGAAAAGCAGCAGGUUAAUACCCCGCUGUUCUGACGGUACCCAAAGAAUAAGCACCGGCUAACUUCGUG
rnacentral:rRNA from 1 species